GUUGUUGUGUCAUUAGUCUGAGUGGUAAACACAUGAAACAAGUUAAAACUUUCAACAACGGAUCUCUUGGUUCUCGCAUCGAUGAAGAACGCAGCGAAAUGCGAUAAGUAGUGUGAAUUGCAGAAUUCAGUGAAUCACCGAAUCUUUGAACGCACAUUGCGCCUUCUGGUAUUCCGGGAGGCAUGCCUGUUCGAGCGUCAUCAAACACAUCCUCAAGCACUUUUGCUUGGUAUUGGUGGCAGAUGUCCGCAUCUCCUCUUAAAUUCCUCAGCGGAAACUACUGCGGUCUCAGGUGUCAUAAGAUUACCUUUCGCUUGAUAACUGCCGGUAGGUUCUUGCUGUGAAGAGCCCCCCAGCUAUUCUUUUACGUUUGACCUCGAAUCGGGUAGGGAUACCCGCUGAACUUAAGCAUAUCAAUAAGCGGAGG
rnacentral:rRNA from 1 species